AACCGGCCCAGGUCGGAAACGGAGC
rnacentral:piRNA from 4 species